rnacentral:rRNA from 1 species
UACGUAGGGUGCAAGCGUUAAUCGGAAUUACUGGGCGUAAAGCGUGCGCAGGCGGUUGUGUAAGACAGAUGUGAAAUCCCCGGGCUCAACCUGGGAACUGCAUUUGUGACUGCACAGCUGGAGUGCGGCAGAGGGGGAUGGAAUUCCGCGUGUAGCAGUGAAGUGCGUAGAUAUGCGGAGGAACACCGAUGGCGAAGGCAAUCCCCUGGGCCUGCACUGACGCUCAUGCACGAAAGCGUGGGGAGCAAACAGG